rnacentral:rRNA from 1 species
UUCGCCUGGGGAUCAGGAGCAUAAGCUUAAAACCCAAAGGACUUGGCGGUGUUUUAAACCCCCCUAGAGGCGCAUGUUUUAUAACCGAUAACCCCCGUUAAACAUCACCUUUUUUUGUUAUUUCCGCCUAUAUACCGCCGUCGUCAGCUUACCCUGUGAAGGGCACUUAGUAAGCAAAACUGAUUUUAUCCAAAACGCCAGGUCAAGGUGUAGCAAAUGAGAAGGAAAGAAAUGGGCUACAUUUUCUGAUUCAGAAAAUACGGAAGUUGCCAUGAAACAGCAUAUUUAAAGGAGGAUUUAGCAGUAAGUGAAGAUUAGAGAGUUUC